rnacentral:rRNA from 1 species
UACGGAGGGUGCAAGCGUUGUCCGGAAUCACUGGGCGUAAAGGGCGCGUAGGCGGCUCAUGAAGGCUGUGGUGAAAGUCCGGGGCUCAACCUCGGAUCGGCCGUGGCGACUCGUGGGCUGGAGCACUGUAGAGGCGGGUGGAAUUCCGGGUGUAGCGGUGGAAUGCGUAGAGAUCCGGAAGAACACCGGUGGCGAAAGCGGCUCACUGGACCACAACUGACGCUGAUGCACGAAAGCUAGGGGAGCAAACAGG